rnacentral:misc_RNA from 1 species
GAUGAAGAACGCAGCGAAACGCGAUAUGUAAUGUGAAUUGCAGAAUUCAGUGAAUCAUCGAAUCUUUGAACGCACAUGGCGCCUUCCAGUAUCCUGGGAGGCAUGCCUGUCCGAGCGUCGUUUCAACACUCGAGCCCCCGUGGCCCGGCGUUGGGGAUCUGCCCAGGCAGUCCCCGAAAACCAGUGGCGGACCCGUUACAGGCCCUUCCCUUGCGUAGUAGCAUUCGCCUCGCAUCGGGAGCCGGCGGGCUUCCAGCCUCUAAACCCCCAUCAAGUCCGCCCCGGCGGCACCAAGGUUGACCUCGGAUCAGGUAGGAAUACCCGCUGAACUUAAGCAUAUCAAUAAGCGGAGGA